rnacentral:rRNA from 1 species
GACGAACGCUGGCGGCGUGCCUAAUACAUGCAAGUAGAACGCUGAAGAGAGGAGCUUGCUCUUCUUGGAUGAGUUGCGAACGGGUGAGUAACGCGUAGGUAACCUGCCUUGCAGCGGGGGAUAACUAUUGGAAACGAUAGCUAAUACCGCAUAACAAUGGAUGACACAUGUCAUUUAUUUGAAAGGGGCAAUUGCUCCACUACAAGAUGGACCUGCGUUGUAUUAGCUAGUAGGUGAGGUAAUGGCUCACCUAGGCGACGAUACAUAGCCGACCUGAGAGGGUGAUCGGCCACACUGGGACUGAGACACGGCCCAGACUCCUACGGGAGGCAGCAGUAGGGAAUCUUCGGCAAUGGGGGCAACCCUGACCGAGCAACGCCGCGUGAGUGAAGAAGGGUUUCGGAUCGUAAAGCUCUGUUGUAAGUCAAGAACGGGUGUGAGAGUGGAAAGUUCACACUGUGACGGUAGCUUACCAGAAAGAGACGGCUAACUACGUG